GUAGCUCAGCUGGUAGAGCGUGCGCUGUACAAAAGCGUAGGCGGCGUCCUUGCGUGGGUUCGAAUCCCACC
rnacentral:tRNA from 1 species